rnacentral:rRNA from 1 species
ACGCGAAGAACCUUACCUACUCUUGACAUCCAGAGAAUUNNNNAGANAUAGCUUAGUGCCUUCGGGAACUCUGAGACAGGUGCUGCAUGGCUGUCGUCAGCUCGUGUUGUGAAAUGUUGGGUUAAGUCCCGCAACGAGCGCAACCCUUAUCCUUAUUUGCCAGCACGUAAUGGUGGGAACUCUAGGGAGACUGCCGGUGAUAAACCGGAGGAAGGUGGGGACGACGUCAAGUCAUCAUGGCCCUUACGAGUAGGGCUACACACGUGCUACAAUGGCGAGUACAGAGGGUUGCAAAGCCGCGAGGUGGAGCUAAUCUCACAAAGCUCGUCGUAGUCCGGAUUGGAGUCUGCAACUCGACUCCAUGAAGUCGGAAUCGCUAGUAAUCGUGGAUCAGAAUGCCACGGUGAAUACGUUCCCGGGCCUUGUACACACCGCCCGUCACACCAUGGGAGUGGGCUGCAAAAGAAGUGGGUAGCUNANC